AACGAACGCUGGCGGCAUGCCUAACACAUGCAAGUCGAACGAGACCUUCGGGUCUAGUGGCGCACGGGUGCGUAACACGUGGGAAUCUGCCCUUUGCUUCGGAAUAACAGUUAGAAAUGACUGCUAAUACCGGAUGAUGUCGAAAGACCAAAGAUUUAUCGGCAAAGGAUGAGCCCGCGUAGGAUUAGGUAGUUGGUGGGGUAAAGGCCUACCAAGCCGACGAUCCUUAGCUGGUCUGAGAGGAUGAUCAGCCACACUGGGACUGAGACACGGACCAGACUACUACGGGAGGCAGGAGUGGGGAAUAUUGGACAAGGGGCGAAAGCCUGAUACAGCCAUGCCGCGUGAGUGAUGAAGGCCUUAGGGUUGUAAAGCUCUUUUACCAGGGAUGAUAAUGACAGUACCUGGAGAAUAAGCACCGGCUAACUCCGUG
rnacentral:rRNA from 1 species